rnacentral:lncRNA from 13 species
AUGUGUGAAAUAUCUACAAUGAAAAACGUCAGUAGAACAUUCCCAAACAGAUACAUUUUAACCUCAGCAACCAUCAGCAACAGGAUAAAAAGUGAUUUAAAAAGAGAAAGGUUUUCGCAAUAUUUAUGCUGCUGUAUCUUCCCCGAAGGAGCUUUUAUUUUACCAUUCAAACGGAAGUUUGUUUUCAAACCAGUCGCUAAAGGAGCAGCGGCAAGAAUCAGCUCUAAGCCAACAGCAAGCGCGCGGGCAAAAGUGGCCGGUUCCCGCAGCCGCCGCGUGGGUCGGCCGCCCGCAGAAGCGCCGUCUUACCUUGAGCGCGCAGGACUGGGAGAGGCUCACGGGCUCCCACGGAGAGGGCCGGGAAGGCUGCGUGCGAUCCGCCGCAGGCGACACGCGCUCGGCUUUUAUGGGCAGGUGGGAGGAGCCGCCCCUCAUGGAAGGACAGCAGAUAGCACUGCUGUGGAAUGCUGCUGAGAACUGCGGGACAGCCCACUGAGAAAGUCCUUCCGAGGGUCAGUUUGGCAGGAGCCACAAGAAACAAGGGUGAGGGUUAAUGACUCCCUUCGUGUGGCUUGCUGGGAGCAGUACUUCACCUCAAAUGGAAAUUUCAGAAGUUUCUGUACUGCUCACAAGAGCAUUCCUGGAGUGGAGUAGCAGAAAGCAAGGCCAAGCAUAAUGUAGUGACUCUGCUGAACACAGCUCCAUCUCCAAGAACUCAUCAUCAUCAUCAAAUAGCAUUUAUUAAAAGCCCACACGCAUAUGGCGCAGAACAAACCACAUUAAACAAACACAGUUGCGCUGCUGGUCCUCUGGAGGGCCACAAUUUAAAACACUGAAAAAUCAACUCUUGCUUCUGUUAGGCUUUGUUCUUACAACCCAAGAACAUUGAGAAAGAUCAGUGACACAUUGAAAAACAUUAAUACAAAUAACAAUUAUUGUUACACUAAACAUAAUAUUAAAUUGAAAUAGAUGUAAGUUAUUUAGUACUUUCUCGGUGCCAGUAUAUGCUUUUUGCUCAUAUGAUUGCGGAAGUGUAUGAAGUAGGUAGCACUGAUAUAUGUAUUUUAUGUAGGAGGCAACUGAAGCUUAGAGAAGUUAAUAAUUUGCUUAUGAAAACAGAGCUACCAGGUAGCAGAGCCGGGACUUGAACCUGGGUUUAUUGAAAUCCCAACAUCAUAUUGGGCCAUAUUACCAGAUCUCAUAGAGUUGAUCAUUGGCCUUGGGUUGCUUAGAAGAAUAGUUAAAGCCACAAUAAAAUAAUUUCUACACUUUUAUAGCA